CUACAGUAUACAUAUCUCCCUGGCAUAUUACAUCAUUUAUGCAGCAGCAUACAAUACAUUUUUGGACUCCCCUUGUGCUGUGCUCACUUGAACAGGAAGGUGGCAUGGCAGUCCUUCGUGGUCAAAUUGUGUCACUGCUGCUUAACAUUUUGCGCAGUUAAGCAACUAUACUGAUGCAGGUAUCUUUUGCAGAUGGUCACAUGCAGUUGGACACAUGGAGGAGAGAAUCAUUUUCGCAGUAUCUUCAAAACCUUGUCUUUUUGACAACUGCUGACAGCUACAGGGACAUAAACACAAAAAAUGCUCUUUGGAGACAAGUGUCCAUGAUAGUAGGAUUGCCAGAAGAAGACUGUAGGAGGAAGUGGAGAGGACUCAGGGACAGGUAUCAGAGAGAGAAGGGCAGAGAAAGAGAAGAAGAGGUCUGGUUCAGCAGCUUGGCGCUUCUGCCACAUUCUUUCUUUUCUGGAUCCGUUUAUUGUGCCUAGGGCAACAAGUGGACAUUUUACAGCCAGACCCUCUACUACGUCAUCCACAAGUGUUGUCGCCACCGGUGCAUCCAUGACGUCCAGGGGCCAUUUGUUUCUUUAGCUGUGUUAUGGCUACAUAUUAUUUUCUUUUUUUCAGAGACAGAGAAACACACACCUCUUUCAAUCGUUUUUUACUUCUUUUUUUUUUACAACACACAUACCUGUCAUGUUCUUUCCUGUACUUAAUAUCUCAUUUAGACUUAAUCUGCUUAUUUCUUCCCUACACCUUUGCAGAUCUAAGACGAGAUGAAAGUAAAAACACAUUCUCUUCUUAAUUUGUUUUUUUCCCACCUGUAUUUUGUCAGGCCACUGAACAUGGUGGUAAACUGUACUAUUUGUAUGGACCCUAGGUUAGCCUUUCCCUUUUAUCAUACUAACUGUAUGUCGUAUAACCUUAAUUAGUGCUCCCGCUCAUCUGAUGUACCAUGCCAGGUGUGUAUAAUACUGAGGUUAAUGGGAGAGGGAAGGGGUUAAGGUGUGGUCUUUACUCCCAAUUGUCACUUAAAUAUAACUUCCAAAUGAAGAGAGACAAUGAUACAUAAAGUAAUCUGGGGAAAAAAUACAGGUCCCAGGUCUUCAGCCCCAGGGAGUGAUGCAAGUGGUGGAAUCUCCAGGGUGCCAUCCUGAAGUGCCUGGCCGAAGGCAGAGUCCAGGAGGGUCCUGCCAUCACUUCCCUUGCCGUAAGCACCAACAUCGACAACAUGGAAACAGUAGAUGGCAUCUACUACAGCCAGGAGUACAACUGAAUAUGUACCCUUGUAGAUGUAGAAUUACAAACCCGAGCACGGUGGAGCCUGGAUUACUACACGUAUCCCGUCAAUGGAGCCAAGACGGUUGGGGAAAUUCUACCUCUCCAGGAACUCGGCAGCAAUGGCCCUCCAGUCUUCCUCCUUGGGGACAGGCAUGGUACUAUCUACUUAAAAGGGUUCUCUGGCUGUCCCCAUAGGAUAACCCUUUUUGGUUCCAUGUAUAACCUUUUCCCCAAAGGGUUAUACUAUGGGGAAAGCAGAAGGACACUUUUGGAACCUUUUUCUCUAAGAGUGUAUGUGAGUCCA
rnacentral:lncRNA from 1 species